GUAAGGAAUAUUGGUCAAUGGACGAAAGUCUGAACCAGCCAUGCCGCGUGGAGGAUGAAGGUCCUCUGGAUUGUAAACUUCUUUUAUAUGGGACGAAAAUGGGGCUUUCUAGCUCAACUGACGGUACCAUAUGAAUAAGCACCGGCUAACUCCGUGCCAGCAGCCGCGGUAAUACGGAGGGUGCAAGCGUUAUCCGGAUUCACUGGGUUUAAAGGGUGCGUAGGUGGAUUGGUAAGUCAGAGGUGAAAUCUCCGGGCUCAACUCGGAAACUGCCUUUGAUACUAUCAAUCUUGAAUAUUGUGGAGGUUAGCGGAAUAUGUCAUGUAGCGGUGAAAUGCUUAGAUAUGACAUAGAACACCAAUUGCGAAGGCAGCUGGCUACACAUAUAUUGACACUGAGGCACGAAAGCGUGGGGAUCAAACAGGAUUAGAUACCCGUGUAGUCC
rnacentral:rRNA from 1 species